GCGGCAAACGGGUGAGUAAUAUCUGGGGAUCUACCCAAAAGAGGGGGAUAACUACUAGAAAUGGUAGCUAAUACCGCAUAAUGUUGAAAAACCAAAGUGGGGGACCUUUUGGCCUCAUGCUUUUGGAUGAACCCAGACGAGAUUAGCUUGUUGGUAGAGUAAUAGCCUACCAAGGCAACGAUCUCUAGCUGGUCUGAGAGGAUAACCAGCCACACUGGAACUGAGACACGGUCCAGACUCCUACGGGAGGCAGCAGUGGGGAAUAUUGCACAAUGGGCGAAAGCCUGAUGCAGCUAUGCCGCGUGUAUGAAGAAGGCCUUAGGGUUGUAAAGUACUUUCAGCAGGGAGGAAAGAAAUAAAACUAAUAAUUUUAUUUUGUGACGUUACCUGAAGAAGAAGCACCGGCUAACUCCGUGCCAGCAGCCGCGGUAAUACGGAGGGUGCAAGCGUUAAUCAGAAUUACUGGGCGUAAAGAGCGCGUAGGUGGUUUUUUAAGUCAGAUGUGAAAUCCCUAGGCUUAACCUAGGAACUGCAUUUGAAACUGAAAAACUAGAGUAUCGUAGAGGGAGGUAGAAUUCUAGGUGUAGCGGUGAAAUGCGUAGAUAUCUGGAGGAAUACCUGUGGCGAAAGCGGCCUCCUAAACGAAUACUGACACUGAGGUGCGAAAGCGUGGGGAGCAAUCAGGAUUAGAUACCCUGGUAGUCCAUGCCGUAAACGAUGUCGACUUGGAGGUUGUUUCCAAGAGAAGUGACUUCCGAAGCUAACGCAUUAAGUCGUCCGCCUGGGGAGUACGGCCGCAAGGCUAAAACUCAAAUGAAUUGACGGGGGCCCGCACAAGCGGUGGAGCAUGUGGUUUAAUUCGAUGCAACGCGAAAAACCUUACCUGGUCUUGACAUCCACAAAAUUUUUUAGAAAUAAAAAAGUGCCUUCGGGAAUUGUGAGACAGGUGCUGCAUGGCUGUCGUCAGCUCGUGUUGUGAAAUGUUGGGUUAAGUCCCGCAACGAGCGCAACCCUUAUCCCCUGUUGCCAGCGGUUCGGCCGGGAACUCAGAGGAGACUGCCGGUUAUAAACCGGAGGAAGGUGGGGACGACGUCAAGUCAUCAU
rnacentral:rRNA from 1 species